GUGGGCGUAGCUCAAUGGGCAGAGCACUGGUCUGUGGAACCAGGUGUUACGGGUUCGAGCCCCGUCGUCCACC
rnacentral:tRNA from 1 species